UGCGGAAAGAAGCAACAGCCGCUGCCCCGGAGCCCAGAAAAGUGGACGCCGCGUCCCGGCCGCCCGCCUGCGCCGGGGAUGCGGCGGCGGCGGCGGCUAACGGUCCAGCGAGGCGGCAGGGGCGGCGGGAGCCGCUAGGCGGAGAGACCAGUGAUGGAUAGCUACUUUAAAUUUACAUGCCAGCGACGCAAAUGGCCGUAAGUGAUUUUUCGUCAUCCUAAAUGAGAGGAUGUUUUCUCAGUUGGAGCCCCUCGCCCGUGUGCCCGGAGGGAGUUGCAGGUGCGUGCGAGGAGCGAGCGGCCACCCACACGGCCCCGGCGCAGCUCGGGGGGGGGGGGGCAGGUGAGUGCGGCGGGGCUGACAGCCACCACCAGCUCCCUGCACCCCAGCGGCAUCCCUCCCGCCUCCCUGCUCGACAUGGUUUCCUCCAGUCUCUCCCCCAGCGGACACCCCGCUUCCCCAGCACCUUAUGGAGCGUCCCCUCUCUCUUACCUGCGC